AGGGCACCACCAGGAGUGGAGCUUGCGGCUUAAUUUGACUCAACGCGGGGAAACUCACUUGGUCAGGACACUGUAAGGAUUGACAGAUUGAAAGCUCUUUCUUGAUUCGGUGGAUGGUGGUGCAUGGCCGUUCUUAGUUGGUGGAGUGAUUUGUCUGGUUAAUUCCGAUAACGAACGAGACUCUAUCUUGCUAACUAGUCGCAGAUUUAUUCUGACUGUUGAGCUUCUUAGAAGGACAGGUGAAUUUAACCAUACGAGAUUGAGCAAUAACAGGUCUGUGAUGCCCUUAGAUGUCCAAGGCUGCACGCGUGCUACACUGAAGUCGUCAACAUGUGAACCUAUCUCGGAGGAGUGUGGGGAACCCUCUGAAACGGCUUCGUGCUAGGGAUUGGGGUCUGUAAAUCCACAUGAACGAGGAAUUCCUAGUAAGUGCGAGUCAACAUCUCGCGCUGAUUACGUCCCUGCCCUUUGUACACACCGCCCGUCGCUACUACCGAUUGGAUGCGUUAGUGAGGUUUU
rnacentral:rRNA from 1 species